CUAAAUGCGAAGUCUGACGGAGCACGCCGCGUUAAGUGAUGAAGGUUUUCGGAUCGUAAAGCUCUGUUGUUAGGGAAGAACAAGUACCGUUCGAAUAGGGCGGUACCUUGACGGUACCUAACCAGAAAGCCACGGCUAACUACGUGCCAGCAGCCGCGGU
rnacentral:rRNA from 1 species